AGUGAACGCUGGCGGUAGGCCUAACACAUGCAAGUCGAACGGCAGCACAGGAGAGCUUGCUCUCUAGUUUUCGAGUGGCGGACGGGUGAGUAAUACAUCUGAAUCUGCCCAGUCGUGGGGGAUAACUUAGGGAAACUUACGCUAAUACCGCAUACGACCUUCGGCUGAAAGAGGGGGAUCGCAAGACCUCUCUCGAUUGACUUAUCCGAUGUCGGAUUAUCUAGUUAGCGGGGUAAUGGCCCACCAAGGCGACGAUCCGUAGCUGGUCUGAGAGGAUGAUCAGCCACACUGGAACUGAGACACGGUCCAGACUCCUACGGGAGGCAGCAGUGGGGAAUAUUGGACAAUGGGCGCAAGCCUGAUCCAGCCAUACCGCGUGAGUGAAGAAGGCCUUCGGGUUGUAAAGCCCUUUUGUUGGGAAAGAAAUCUUUCAGGCUAAUACCCUGGGAGGAUGACGGUACCCAAAGAAUAAGCACCGGCUAACUUCGUG
rnacentral:rRNA from 1 species